rnacentral:rRNA from 1 species
UAAACCAGGAUUAGAUACCCUAUUAUUUUGUUUUGUUUAUAAGUAGUAUUAAUUAUAAUUUUCAAACUUAAAGAAUUUGGCGGUGUUUUUUCUAAUCAGAGGAACCUGUCUAUUAAACGAUAAUCCACGAAUAUCUUACUUAAUUAAGAAGUUUGUAUACCGUCGUUUGUAAUUGUGUUAGUAGAUAAAUGUUGAAAUGGAAUAAAAUUCAUAAAUGUCAGAUCAAGGUGCAGCUAAAAAUUAAGUUAAGAUGGGUUACAUUGAGCUAUUGUGGUUAAAAUUUUAUGCAAAUUUAUUAUUAUUGGAUUUGAAAUUAAUUUAAAAUUAUAUUUUUAUGAAUUUGAAUUUAAACAUGUACAUAUCGCCCGUCACUCUCA